GACGAACGCUGGCGGCGUGCUUAACACAUGCAAGUCGAACGCUGAAGCUCAGCUUUUGUUGGGUGGAUGAGUGGCGAACGGGUGAGUAACACGUGAGUAACCUGCCCCCUUCUUUGGGAUAACGCCCGGAAACGGGUGCUAAUACUGGAUAUUCACUGGUCUUCGCAUGGGGGUUGGUGGAAAGGGUUUUUCUGGUGGGGGAUGGGCUCGCGGCCUAUCAGCUUGUUGGUGGGGUGAUGGCCUACCAAGGCUUUGACGGGUAGCCGGCCUGAGAGGGUGACCGGUCACAUUGGGACUGAGAUAGGGCCCAGACUCCUACGGGAGGCAGCAGUGGGGAAGAUUGCACAAUGGGCGCAAGCCUGAUGCAGCGACGCCGCGUGAGGGAUGGAGGCCUUCGGGUUGUGAACCUCUUUCGCUCAUGGUCAAGCCGCAACAAUGGUUGUGGUGAGGGUAGUGGGUAAAGAAGCGCCGGCUAACUACGUG
rnacentral:rRNA from 1 species